GAAAAUGUUAAAGUUCUUAUUUCAUGGUAUAACUUUGGUAUGCUUGGACCUAGAGUCUUCAAACUUGACAUGAAGGUUGGCCAGGAUUAACAGAUGACCACUGGUCAUUUCAAGGUCAUUCAUUUGAAGGUCAAGGUCACUGUGACCUUCAAUAUAAAAAAUGUUAAAGUUGUUAUAACUUUGGUAUGCUUAGACCUAGAGUCUUGAAACUUGACAUGAAGGUUGGCCAUAACUAGUUAGUAACCACUGGUCAUUUCAAGGUCAUUCAUUUGAAGGUCAAGGUCACUGUGACCUUGAAUGUAAAAAUGUUAAAGUUCUUAUUUCAUGUUAUAACUUUGGUAUGCUUGUACCUAGAGUCUUCAAACUUGAAAUAAAGAUUGGCCAGUACUAGAAGAUGACCACUGGUCAUUUCAAUGUCAUUCAUUUGAAGGUCAAGGUCACUGUGACCUUAAAUGUUAAAAUGUUAAAAUUGUUAUAACUUUGGUAUGCUUGGACAUAGAGUCUUCAAACUUGACAUGAAGGUUUGCAAGCACACUUAGAUGACCACUGGUCAUUUCAAGGUCAUUCAUUCUAAGGUCAAGGUCACUGUGACCUUGAAUGUAAAAAUGUUAAAGUUCUUAUAACUUUGGUAGGUAAAAAUGUUAAAGUUCUUAUUCCAUGUUAUAACUUUGGUAUGCUUGUACCUAGAGUCUUCAAACUUGACAUAAAGGUUUGCUCAUGCCUUGAAAAGUACUUACAUUUCAUUUUGACCUUUGAACAAUAUUUCAGUAAUUUAAGUAUUGCAUUGACAAAAACACGAAAGGUACUUUCCUGUCAUUUAAAUCAAAAAUCCGGCUUCAAUACGGUCAUCUCCG